CAGCAGCCGCGGGAAUACAGAGGGUGCGAGCGUUAAUCGGAUUUACUGGGCGUAAAGCGUGCGUAGGCGGCUAAUUGAGUCGGAUGUGAAAUCCCCGAGCUUAACUUGGGAAUUGCAUUCGAUACUGGUUAGCUAGAGUGUGGGAGAGGAUGGUAGAAUUCCAGGUGUAGCGGUGAAAUGCGUAGAGAUCUGGAGGAAUACCGAUGGCGAAGGCAGCCAUCUGGCCUAACACUGACGCUGAGGUACGAAAGCAUGGGGAGCAAACAGGAUUAGAUACCCGAGUAGUCCCUGUCUUUUAUAC
rnacentral:rRNA from 1 species